rnacentral:rRNA from 1 species
CCUACGGGAGGCAGCAGUGGGGAAUAUUGCACAAUGGGCGAAAGCCUGAUGCAGCGACGCCGCGUGAGGGAUGACGGCCUUCGGGUUGUAAACCUCUUUCAGUAGGGAAGAAGCGAAAGUGACGGUACCUGCAGAAGAAGCGCCGGCUAACUACGUGCCAGCAGCCGCGGUAAUACGUAGGGCGCAAGCGUUAUCCGGAAUUAUUGGGCGUAAAGAGCUCGUAGGCGGUUUGUCGCGUCUGCCGUGAAAGUCCGGGGCUCAACUCCGGAUCUGCGGUGGGUACGGGCAGACUAGAGUGAUGUAGGGGAGACUGGAAUUCCUGGUGUAGCGGUGAAAUGCGCAGAUAUCAGGAGGAACACCGAUGGCGAAGGCAGGUCUCUGGGCAUUAACUGACGCUGAGGAGCGAAAGCAUGGGGAGCGAACAGGAUUAGAUACCCUGGUAGUCCAUGCCGUAAACGUUGGGCACUAGGUGUGGGGGACAUUCCACGUUUUCCGCGCCGUAGCUAACGCAUUAAGUGCCCCGCCUGGGGNGUACGGCCGCGAGACUAAACUUAAAUAGAUAGACGCGNGAGAGNGCGAGCGACGACGAGGGAGAGG